UGAGGACGCUCCUGGUUUGUCCCCAAGGUCUUGCCUGCACGCGAACAUGAGACCGACCCGAAGGAGCAGCAGCUUCACUGAUUGGGGAGGUGGCCAAUGUGAAAGGAUGAAGGCACUGGGAAGGGAAGACAGAGCCCGGCCCAGUCAUCAAUGCGCCAUCCCUCCGGCCAACAACCCGCUCCAGGCUCGAUGCUGACUAAGACACUGUAGUCAUUUCUUCAUGAUCUGCAAUGAACAGUGCUAGCGAUCCACAGCCCUCUAUGAGCAAGCGGCGGUUGCUAUGAACUCACACCCUAUUGCUACCCUCGGGUCACUCUG
rnacentral:lncRNA from 1 species